rnacentral:rRNA from 1 species
GACGAACGCUGGCGGCGUGCUUAACACAUGCAAGUCGAGCGGAGCGGCGAACGGGUGAGUAACGCGUGAGUAACUGCCCCCCUCUCUAGGAUAACAGUUGGAAACGGCUGCCAAUACCGGAUAGUGGUGGAUGACUCGGGUCCAAUCCGCUUGUUGGUGGGGUAGUGGCCUACCAAGGCGACGACCGGUAGCCGGCCUGAGAGGGGGCCCGGCCACAAUGGUCUGAGGGACGGCCCAAACGCCUACGGGAGGCAGCAGUGGAGAAUAUUGCGCAAUGGGGGAAACCCUGAGGCAGAAGCGCCGCGUGCGGAAUGACGGCCUUCGGGUUGUAAACCGCUUUCAGCCAUGACGCGGUAGUGGCAGAAGAAGCACCGGCUAACUACGUGCCAGCAGCCGCGGUAAUAC